rnacentral:lncRNA from 1 species
UUCUAUACUCACAUACUAGAUCACAUUUGGCCUUUGGCAAUUCAGUAAACAUUUUAGCAAUUUCUUCUUUCCUGCCUGCUGAAGACUGACUUCCUCCUGCUGCCAAAGUUCUAGAGUCUGGACGUCUGAGAUCAGGGUGCCAGCACUGUCGAGGUCACAGACUGCAGACCUCCUUGUAUCUUCAAAUGGAGGAAAGAGGACAAGAGAGCUCCUGUGGUCCCUUUUAUCAAGAUGAAUGCACAAGGAAAAUGUUGUACAUUUGCACAUUGGAGUACACUUCAGCCAUAAAAAGAAUGAGAUGCUGUCAUUUGCAACAACAGUUGAAGCCUAGUCAAGAAGAGGGCUCAGAGAAGCUUGACUAAAGUUUCAUGAAGAGAGUCUCUGUCAGUGGUGGGUCUUUGAUUCUCAAGGAAGCUGUCAGAAGCUUCAUCUAACUUCUCUUCCACUCUACUUUCUUCUGGGGAAGAAGUGACCCAACAAUUUGAUCUAAUAUUUGCCUGAUAAUAUUGAACAUCCUUGCAUCCAUUAAAGUUUACUGUUCUAAGACUUACUUUAACCAAGGUCAACAGCAAUCUGAGACACACUCUUCUCAUGGCAGAUUAUGGGACCAUAAAGCAGGAGAAGAGAAAGGAAGCUGCAGUCCCUGUAUAACUCCUAAAUUUUUAAUUUGGAGUUCCUCUUCUUCGGUGCAACAAUCUUUCUGCAUGCACAGAUCCAUGUGGCACUCAUCUCAUCAUUCUGAGGGAAGAAAGAUGCAUAGGGAAUGUUGCAUGUGGUUAUUUCUAUAAGAAAACGUACCUUCAGAGGGGCUUACUCUCUUGUCC